UGAAUUCAUCGAGCUGGUUGUGAAUUCAAGAACAUUAAAUUGUGAAUUCAUUGAGAUGAUUGUGAAUUCAUAGAUCUAUUUGUGAAUUUAAAAAUAUUAAAUUGUGAAUUCAUAGAUCUAACUAUAAAUUCAAUGAUCUGACUGCAAAUAAAUAAAUAUUAAUCAAUAGAUCAGCCAAUAUAUAGGAUCGUACAAUCAAUAACAAUGUAUAUCAAAUGGCAUAAAACGAACAAAAGAAAUUAAAAACCUAAAAAUAAUCACUCAUAUCAAUGUAUAUAUAUCAAAUGGCAUAAAUCACUCAUUUUUGCAACCAAAAUGACGGCCUCCUCAAUUCCUCCCUCUACGCCCAACCCUCCAACAUCAUCAAUUUCUCCAGAUUACCAUGAAUGCAACAACCAUUAAUCAAUCCCGAAUUAAUAAGGUUGGCGUCUUCCUUGAUAUCCUCCGACCGCCCAAACCACGCCUCCUUUCAAAACCAACCAAUCACAAAUUGCAACAAUCAAGUUUCUCCAUCUCCGACCACUCUCGCUAAUCAGAAUCAAGAUCAGUUCUUGCAAUGUGACGCCGGAUUUGGGGACUGACACCAAAAAGGCGGUUCGGUUUUUGAUUUGGCGAGCUCUUCUUAGUAACUGUAUCUCCUCCAUGUCGCCGAUUUCAGAGGACCGGAUCUCCUCCACUGCCGCCUCAUCCUCCGCUCCGGCGACUUCUGCCAAGCCGCGAGAUCUACGUCCUCGGCGCCGCUGGAGAGAGAGAGCUCCGGUGAAGAGAAAGAGAGAUGAGAGAGAGAGAGGA
rnacentral:lncRNA from 1 species